GCCUGGGUGGCUCAGUCGGUUGAGUGUCUGACUUCGACUCAGGUCAUGAUCUCACAGUUCGUGGGUUCGAGCCCCACAUCAGGCU
rnacentral:tRNA from 1 species